UUUAGCAACCCUCAAUUUUAAGGUGUUGAUUUCAUCGUUAUUUUUGGAAUAUUUACCAAUAUUACCACCGUGCCAUCAGUGUCUUGAUACAUCAUACAAAGAGGAUUAACCACAAACACACAUUGGGGGCAGGGCGGCAGCGUGGCCGCCGAGACACCUGUUGCUCGCUGGACGAGUAAAUCACGGCUCGCUCCGCCUCAGAGAGAUCCUCCCUCGCUUUUUCAAGUGUUAAUGUUCACGUUGUAAUUUUGCUGCCCUCGAAGCAGAGCAACCCGUGCAUAGUUCAGCACUAAACAUAUAUGCUGGAGCCAUAACUCGGCAGAGCCACGCGGACAACAGGUUGGCAGUAGUGGUGGAGCCGGGGUACGCCUCCGCUUGCCUGGCCCGUGGCCCCAGUGGCCUCCCAAACCCGCCACCUCCGGGCCUCGGGCACGGCCACCCCAUCCCACCUUGGCGAGGGUUGCCAUCUGUUGCUUCACUCACAUCAGAACAACAUGAUGUUUGAGAAGGAAAGCGAGUCCCACGUUCACCACUUGGUCACAGGAAACACGUGUCUUCUACCAACACGAGGCGUCACUCUCGCAGGGAAACAACAUCCAGUGCAUGCAACGAAUCUUUCAUUAACACGAGGAAUCUCGGACUGGAAGUGUCCACAAAAUCUUCAUCAACAGUAGCUUUUACUUGGUCUUAGUAAGUGAGUGUGAUCUAUGAUGACCGACUUCCUGUAACGAAAUAUAAGUAUUUGUUGAGAUGACUGCAGUAAUAAUGAAAAUGGAACUGCUUGCUCAAGAAAAAAGUAAAUUAUCGUACUGGUGUCGCGGCAUCUCAAGCCAAACAUCUCCGUUCAAAGCUUACAAGUUUUGGUAUCUGCCUUAGCAGUGGGAGGCGGUCGCGUGUAACCCUGUGUAGGGAUGCCCAGGUCCCUGGGUCGUGUGGCUUUGACAGAACACAGUGAAGCGGGAGCAAAGAACUGUGUGAGUGGUGAGAGGAGUGAAUGGAAGUGGAGUGGAGUAGUCUUAAAUGGGCACAGUGGUGUGGGGGUACGACGUGGUAGCAGGGAACGCAAGGUGAGGUUCCCUGCUCACCUCACUCGUGGCGUGGCUCAAGAGGCACUGCUGUACUAUGCCAGGCCCACCUUACCCCUCCUUUGAAAUGUUUGUGUUGUAGUGUUUGACGCCCCACGUCACGCCGUGUUGACGACCUGGUGAUGCUGAACUCCUAUUCCAUUUGUACGAGUUCGUAAUGGGCGUUCAUGCGAUGGGUGAUGGGAUGAAAAAAUAGUAUAGUGCAACAGGAAGGAAUGACAACCAAACGCAUUGAGAACACUCGCUUUAUCAGUCCGUGAGUUGACAUACACACGCCGGGAGGUAAGCAGGAUGCUGAGUGCCGAGCGCUUGUCGCUGAACUAAUUGUAACCCUGAGAAAGACGAAGCUUGAUAAAACAUAUCACUAAAGACUGUCAGGAAAGACUCAAGUCACUGCCGGAAAAAAAAAAAAGUGAGACGAGGCGGUCAGUGGAUGCUGCGGCGUGGGUGGAGGGGGCGGCGAGGAGGACUAUGGCAGCUGAACUGGUGAAAGACUUGCCUCCACCUUGGACCAAUGCUGUUACUCGGGAUGGACGCAUCUUCUUCGUCAAUGAGGAGGCGCGUGUAACCACCUGGCUUCACCCCCUCACCUGCCAGCCAGCCCUUACCGGCCACCGACCACUGCCAGACCUUCCGAAAGGGUGGGAGCGCGGCGUCACUCCACAGGGGAUUCCCUACUAUAUCGA